rnacentral:rRNA from 1 species
UACAGAGGGUGCAAGCGUUGUUCGGAAUUAUUGGGCGUAAAGCGCGUGUAGGCGGCAGCGUGUGUCGGGCGUGAAAUCCCACGGCUCAACCGUGGAAGUGCACCCGAAACUGCGCAGCUAGAGUCCUGGAGAGGAAGGCGGAAUACUUGGUGUAGCAGUGAAAUGCGUAGAUAUCAAGUGGAACACCAGUGGCGAAGGCGAAUCCCUGGAAAAUACCUGACACUGAGGCACGAAAGCUAGGGGAGCAAACAGG